CUCCAGGGGUUGGGAUCAUCUCCAGGGUUGGGAUCAUCUCCAGGGUCUGGGAUCAUCUCCAUGGUUGGGAUCAUCUCCAUGGUUGGGAUCAUCUCCAGGCUCUGGGAUCAUCUCCAGGGUUGGGAUCAUCUCCAUGGUUGGGAUCAUCUCCAGGGUCUGGGAUCAUCUCCAGGCUCUGGGAUCAUCUCCAGGGUUUGGGAUCAUCUCCAGGGUUUGGGAUCAUCUCCAUGGUUGGGAUCAUCUCCAGGCUCUGGGAUCAUCUCCAGGCUCUGGGAUCAUCUCCAUGGUUGGGAUCAUCUCCAGACUUGGGAUCAUCUCCAGGGUCUGGGAUCAUCUCCAGGCUCUGGGAUCAUCUCCAGGGCUUGGGAUCAUCUCCAGGCUCUGGGAUCAUCUCCAUGGUUUGGGAUCAUCUCCAGGCUCUGGGAUCAUCUCCAGGGGUUGGGACCAUCUCCAUGGGUUGGGAUCAUCUCCAGGGCUUGGGAUCAUGUCCAGGGUUGGGAUCAUCUCCAGACUCUGGGAUCAUCUCCAGGUUUGGGAUCAUCUCCAGGUUUGGGAUCAUCUCCAGGCUCUGGGAUCAUCUCCAUGAUUGGGAUCAUCUCCAGGGUUGGGAUCAUCUCCAGGCUCUGGGAUCAUCUCCAUGGGUUGGGAUCAUCUCCAGGCUCUGGGACCAUCUCCACGUCC
rnacentral:lncRNA from 1 species